AGUCCAGCAGUGUUCCCACGUAAGUCUUGUUCCUCCAUGUAACAUUUACCACUAGGACACCUGCCAGUGGGAGUAAAAGAAAGUAUUAUCACAGUUAGAACAAUAAUCGGGUGACCUCAAGUUAAAACCCACAGGAAAGACAGCAAACAAAAAGAACAAGAGCGUGUGCACACACAUGACACACGGUCAUCUGAAGAUGAAGAGAUGGGCAAUCAUCAACUGUAGGAAGCUUAAAAAGGGAAGCAUCGGAUUCUGCACUUGGGACAGG